UACGUAGGGUGCAAGCGUUGUCCGGAAUUAUUGGGCGUAAAGAGCUCGUAGGCGGUCUGUCGCGUCGGCUGUGAAAACUCGGGGCUCAACCCCGAGCCUGCAGUCGAUACGGGCAGACUAGAGUGCUGUAGGGGAGACUGGAAUUCCUGGUGUAGCGGUGAAAUGCGCAGAUAUCAGGAGGAUCACCGAUGGCGAAGGCAGGUCUCUGGGCAUUAACUGACGCUGAGGAGCGAAAGCAUGGGGAGCGAACAGG
rnacentral:rRNA from 1 species